rnacentral:rRNA from 1 species
CCUACGGGGGGCAGCAGUGGGGAAUAUUGCACAAUGGGCGGAAGCCUGAUGCAGCAACGCCGCGUGCGGGCUGAAGGCCUUCGGGUUGUAAACCUCUUUCAGCUAUGACGAAUGUGCCGGUAUUAGCAGAAGAAGCACCGUCUAACUCCGUGCCAGCAGCCGCGGUGAUACGUAGGGUGCGAGCGUUGUCCGGAUUUAUUGGGCGUAAAGAGCUCGUAGGUGGUUGUUUGCGUCGGAAGUGAAAACCUAGCGCGUAACGGUGGGCGUGCUUUCGAUACGGGAUGACUUGAGGGAGGUAGGGGAGAACGGAAUUCCUGGUGGAGCGGUGGAAUGCGCAGAUAUCAGGAGGAACACCGGUGGCGAAGGCGGUUCUCUGGACCUUUCCUGACGCUGAGGAGCGAAAGCGUGGGGAGCAAACAGGAUUAGAUACCCUAGUAGUC